GAAAGAACAGGAUAAAGCUAUUAAUACUGAAAAGGAAAUGCUGGUUCAUGUUCGUAAUGCUCCCUCAACCAAGGCAUCCGAGAAUGAAAAAGGUAAAUCUAUUGCUACGGGCACUGCAGAGGAAAGACCGGUGCAUAAACUGAAAAGGCCGGGAAGUGUUGAGCAUAUGUGGGUAAAGAAUUAUUAUUCGUUCCCUUCGACUGCUUAUCGGAAGAAUGAGAGAUACUAAUUCAAACAUACAAGGAAGAUCUAUGGGGUCUAUUAGUUUCUGUUCG